rnacentral:rRNA from 1 species
CCUACGGGUGGCAGCAGUGGGGAAUAUUGGGCAAUGGGCGCAAGCCUGACCCAGCAACGCCGCGUGAAGGAAGAAGGCUUUCGGGUUGUAAACUUCUUUUCUCAGGGACGAAGCAAGUGACGGUACCUGAGGACUAAGCCACGGCUAACUACGUGCCAGCAGCCGCGGUAAUACGUAGGUGGCAAGCGUUAUCCGGAUUUACUGGGUGUAAAGGGGCGUGUAGGCGGGGACGCAAGUCAGAUGUGAAAACCAUGGGCUCAACCUGUGGCCUGCAUUUGAAACUGUGUUUCUGGAGUACGGGAGAGGCAGACGGAAUUCCUAGUGUAGCGGUGAAAUGCGUAGAUAUUAGGAGGAACACCAGUGGCGAAGGCGGUCUGCUGGACAGCAACUGACGCUGAGGCGCGAAAGCGUGGGGAGCAAACAGGAUUAGAUACCCGUGUAGUC